GCAGGAGUGGCGGAAUAGGCAGACGCACCAGACUCAAAAUCUGGCGGGCUCAACACCCGUGGGGGUUCGACUCCCCCCUCCUGCA
rnacentral:tRNA from 4 species